ensembl:lncRNA
GAAAAGGCUGCUUGAACUCAGCUAAUCUUCUAAGCAGCAGAUUUAGGACCUGAUAAGAUUCCUAUUACUUGUCAGUAGAAUGUUGAUACUUAUUUCAGAUGAGAGCAGAACCAGGUCUGCAGUCCUGUGGAAAUUUAUGGACAUCUGAACUGCUGAAAUUUAAACAGAUUCAAAGAAAGAAGAACCUGACAGAAUCAGUGUUACAUUUCAGGAACUACCAGUCACUUGUCCAGAGGAAGAAUUAGAAUGAUAUUCAGAGUGUUUGGAAACAGAGGCAAAAGGGCAAGAGGUGUCCACAAUUACAAAAUUACAAUGCUGAAGAUUAUAACACACUUGGAGCUUUCAGAUCUUCGAUAGAUCUUCAUGCCUUUCACAUAAUAGCAAACACUACUCCUUCAUUCUUCUGGUUGUAAUUCAAAAUUUUAUGAGUUUGGUAGAUUUACAUUACUAGUCUACUCUACUUGGAUAUGCAGGGCUACAGAUAUAUGAUACAGAAUACAUAUUACUAUAAUUUCUGAAUAAAUGGUGUGGCACAAUCUAUGUUUAUUUUAAUAACGUGUAUAUGUUUCUUAAGCAGUCAUUCAUGAAAUGGUACAAAGAAGGCGACCUGAAAUAGAAAUAUUUUGCUGCCUUCCGAGCCAAUGGUCCAAGCUUCAUCACUUGAGAACAUUAGCUAAACUAUGAUUCAUGAUAUACAGAUAAAACACAAGGCCGCAGGCAGCAAUCGUAAAGACUAACUGGCCUCAUGAGGCUAAUCUCUCUUGGAUUCUUCACUAACCAAGGGGCAAGGAUCUGUCCUUGGACUAGUCAUUCGGAAGAUGUGUCUAAUUCAACCAGUCUUCUGUUGUUCUCUUUUUCCUUUGCCUAAGGAAGAAGCCUGGGAGCCUUAAGAGGCCAGUGUUUAUUUCUGUGAAUACCCCUCAGGGAGAUGAAUCCUCUGAAGGAUUCAGUAGAAAAAAACCUGCACUUAGAACAGAGACCCACUAUCAAUUUGGAACUUCACAUCCUUGAUGGAAUACUUAUGACAAGGUCAGGAUGCUGAACUUACUCUCUUUGCUACAUCUGUGAAGCAUAGAUGUGCAGUCAAUAACUGGUCAUUUCAACUAAUAGAAAACUACAAGUGCUGCUCCGAAAGUAAUACCUCCCAUUUUAUUAUGUUGGCCCACAACAUCAGGGAUGGAUGUUGGCAGUAUGGCAGUAGAGGUUGGGCCUUUCUGCCAAUAUAUCAUUACAGUUUGUUGCUGUGUGACAGAUGGCCACAGAGAGGCAAUCUGAUAAAUGAAUGCCUGACAUGGAGGAGUGCAUAAAGAAAGUGUGGAAUUGAAUUCCCCCCUGUAGAAAAAAUAGCACCCAUUCACAUUCACUGAUGCUUUCUAAAUGCUUAU